CCCAAAGAAAAUAAAUAGGAGGCCCAAUUUUCGGCCCAAUUAUUAAAAUAAAUAGAGUCCAACUCAAUUAAAUAAAGCCCAUACAAAUCAAAACAACAAUUAAAUCAAAGCCCAUAUAAAUAAAAUCAGAGGCCCAAUCAGUAAUUAAAAUCGGUCCAUAUAAAUAAAUUCUGAAGCCCAAUUCCUAAUUUAAAAUCGGCCCAAAAUUAAUAAAUAACUCAGCCCAACUCAAGCCCACUGAAAAUAAAUAACAAAGCCCAAUAAAUAAAUAGGAGGCCCAAAUUUUUCGGCCCAACUAAAUAAAAAAAAUCGGCCCAUCACUUGGCCCAAACUCAAAUCCACUCCCCAAUCCCUAGCCUUUCUUUCUUCCUUUCCUCCCUCAAAUCUGCGCCUCUCACGCACACACACAUAGCUUCAGCCCUCACUCUCCCUCUCUGCCUCUCGGCUCUCUCUCUUCACCUCUCUCACUCAGCCAUCAGUCCCGCCGCCGCGGCUUCUUCCGGCGAGACAGCCGUCGACCGGCCUCCUUCCUUGGCAACGACGAUAGGUAUCGCCGCCGUCUCCCUCCAUCUCUCUCUCUCUCUCAAAGCUCCGCCGCUGCGGAAGCUCGCCGGGGAGCAGCUGCGAUAAGUCGUCGUCACCCACUGCUCUCCCCUCUCCGUCCGUUUCCGGCGACAGCAACGACAAAAGCCACCGCCGACCAGUGAAUCCGACUCCUUGACAGACGAACAGUAGCAGCCAUCGGCCACCACAAUCGUCGAUCUCACCAUUUCUGGACCACCGUCGAUCCCUCCGCCGCUGUAACUGGAAGGCCGGGAGAUUCGCCGCCUCUUGCUCCCAUAAAAUCAGUCGCGCCUCCGCGGCCCUGAAAUUUCGGCGAGAUAUCGCCGCCUGGGAGCGGCGCCGUUCAUCUCUCUCGUCCUCAGAAUCUCCCUCCGUCGUCGAGCCCUAAGUUUUAGAAAAGGCAGAACGCCGUUGCCGAGCGUUCGCUGCUGCUGCGCUCGAGACUUCCGCCACUGUCGUCGCCACUGGACCGACGUGGUUCGUGUGUUGCCGUUUUGGGGAAGCCGAUGCUAUCGUUUCGAUCCACCACCGGCACUGUGCAGUCGGCGAGUAGCGCUGUCGUUGACGACUAGGGGCGUCGCUGCCGGCGUCUGCUUGAUUCGUCGCACCGUUGCCGCUGUUCUUGAGGUCCAGCGGCCCGCAGUGCAGCCCAACGUUCUUCUCUUCUAAAGUUAAGUCUAUUUCAUUCUACUAUUGUAUCUUGAUUUUCCUUGUUGUGCUUAGUAUGUUGAGUCCCUUGAGUUCUUACAUACAAGUAUAGUGAUUGGUGUUCUGCCUUAUAGAGUGUGAGAUGUCUUU
rnacentral:lncRNA from 1 species